rnacentral:rRNA from 1 species
CCUACGGGAGGCAGCAGUGGGGAAUUUUCCGCAAUGGGCGAAAGCCUGACGGAGCAAUACCGCGUGAGGGAGGAAGGCUCUUGGGUUGUAAACCUCUUUUUUCAGGGAAGAUAAUGACGGUACCUGAGGAAUAAGCAUCGGCUAACUCCGUGCCAGCAGCCGCGGUAAUACGGAGGAUGCAAGCGUUAUCCGGAAUGAUUGGGCGUAAAGCGUCCGCAGGUGGUUUUAAAAGUCUGUUGUUAAAGCGUGAGGCUUAACCUCAUAAGGGCAAUGGAAACUGUAAGACUAGAGUACGUUCGGGGCAAGGGGAAUUCCCAGUGUAGCGGUGAAAUGCGUAGAGAUUGGGAAGAACACCGGUGGCGAAAGCGCCUUGCUAGGCCGUAACUGACACUGAGGGACGAAAGCUAGGGGAGCGAAUGGGAUUAGAUACCCCAGUAGUCCUAGCCGUAAACGAUGGAUACUAGGCGUUGUCUGUAUCGACCCGGACAGUGCCGUAGCUAACGCGUUAAGUAUCCCGCCUGGGGAGUACGCACGCAAGUGUGAAACUUAAAGGAAUUGACGG